rnacentral:misc_RNA from 1 species
AUAGGGUCCAAAGACUCCAAAAACCUACCGUGCUCCCUACGUGGAAAACAGUUAGCCCUCGUUGGCAAAGGAAAUCUGAGAGAACUGCGCCCCGGCGCAAAACUUAAACAAAAUA